AUACGUAGGGGGCGAGCGUUGUCCGGAAUGAUUGGGCGUAAAGGGCGCGUAGGCGGCGCGGCAAGUCUGGAGUGAAAGUCCUGCUUUCAAGGUGGGAAUUGCUUUGGAUACUGCCGCGCUUGAGUGCAGGAGAGGUUAUCGGAAUUCCCGGUGUAGCGGUGAAAUGCGUAGAGAUCGGGAGGAACACCAGUGGCGAAGGCGGGUAACUGGACUGCAACUGACGCUGAGGCGCGAAAGUGUGGGGAGCAAACAGGAUUAGAUACCCUGGUAGUUCACACUGUAAACGAUGAAUACUAGGUGUGGGGGGACUGACCCCCUCCGUGCCGCAGUUAACACAAUAAGUAUUCCACCUGGGGAGUACGAUCGCAAGAUUGAAACUCAAAGGAAUUGACGGGG
rnacentral:rRNA from 1 species